AUCAGCUAGUUGGUAGGGUAAUGGCCUACCAAGGCUACGACGGGUAGCUGGUCUAAGAGGAUGGCCAGCCACACUGGAACUGAGACACGGUCCAGACUCCUACGGGAGGCAGCAGUGGGGAAUCUUGCGCAAUGGGCGAAAGCCUGACGCAGCGACGCCGCGUGGGUGACGAAGGCCUUCGGGUUGUAAAAGCCCUGUGGGGUAGAACGAACUGGCAUCGGGCUAAUAUCUCGGUGUCUUGACGGUACUGCCUUAGCAAGCAUCGGCUAACUCUGUGCCAGCAGCCGCGGUAAGACAGAGGAUGCGAACGUUGCUCGGAUUUACUGGGCGUAAAGCGCGUGUAGGCGGUCUCGUUAGUCGGGUGUGAAAGCCCCGGGCUCAACCCGGGAAAGUGCACCCGAUACUGCGAGACUGGGGUACUGAAGAGGAGAGCGGAAUUCCCGGUGUAGAGGUGAAAUUCGUAGAUAUCGGGAGGAACACCAGUGGC
rnacentral:rRNA from 1 species